CCCCUUUCUUUCAGAAUUUAUGAAGCCAAGAACCCUGUAAUAGUUUGCUUUGUGGGCACUCACUGAAAUACAUAUUUUGUGGAAUCCAGAAGCUUCGGAGGAUGGCUCAAGUGAGGGAACAUGUCCACAAGGUGAAUAGACAGGACAGAGCAACACCAGGGAACAGACUGCCCAGUCCUGACAUCGUGAAGACUUGGAUGAAUGGGAACUGAAGCAAAGAGACCCUGUCUGUUUUGUCCAGUGUUAAAUCCCAAGAACCUUGCACAACAUUGGGCACAGAAUGAACACAGAAGAGGACACCAGGUUAUUGUUCUCACAUGCUCACUGAGUGAUACACGUUGAGAAAGUCAAUCUUGGUGAAUCGAGCUUGUCUGACUGCUAGGUUCUGGACUGCUUCCAAAUGGGAUGCUGAAAUUGAAAGAACUAACACAAAGGCUUCCGGGACAUGUUGGGAAUACCAAGCUACAUUUUGACCAGCAAAGGUUAUUGUUCUGAACUGGAUUUUCCUCUCUGAAGAAGAGACAGCUUCCCAUCAGGCUCUUCAAGGAAGACACACAGAAGACAUUAACAACCGAGCCUAGAUUUGGCUUCUGAAGCUCUGCUUGGGCCCUUUUAUUAACUUCUCAGCAAAGGUUAAAGAGUCUUUCGUCCAACUCAACUGUGGUCAUGUUCUUACAGUUUGAUGUGAAGAAGAUAAACAUGGGAAAGAAGGGACUCAAUGAUCAUACUCCUGUUUGCACUGAUUUUAUAUAUUCUCAUGAUUUCCAAAAUUAAAUUUCAGUACAAAUAUCUCUCCUGAGAUUCUUAUGCACAUAUCCAGUUGCCCACUGCACAUUUUCACUUGGGUGGAGGAACCUUGAACUUAACACACCCAGGCUUAGUUAAUCAUUAGCCCAUCUCUCUCAGCCCCUUCUUCCUCCUUCUAUAUCUGUUAUCUCAGUGAAUGGCCUGACUGCCUGCUUGGUUACCCUGGCCAGAAACCUGUGUGAUUCUCAUAUCUUUUCAUUCCAUCAGCCACCCAGUUGUGUCAAUUCCUCUUCCAGCAAAUCUCUUGAGUCUGUCCACUUCUUUUCUCUCCAUUUCCCAUGG